UAGGGAAUCUUCGGCAAUGGGGGCAACCCUGACCGAGCAACGCCGCGUGAGUGAAGAAGGUUUUCGGAUCGUAAAGCUCUGUUGUAAGAGAAGAACGUGUGUGAGAGUGGAAAGUUCACACAGUGACGGUAACUUACCAGAAAGGGACGGCUAACUACGUGCCAGCAGCCGCGGUAAUACGUAGGUCCCGAGCGUUGUCCGGAUUUAUUGGGCGUAAAGCGAGUGCAGGCGGUUUAAUAAGUCUGAAGUUAAAGGCAGUGGCUUAACCAUUGUUCGCUUUGGAAACUGUUAAACUUGAGUGCAGAAGGGGAGAGUGGAAUUCCAUGUGUAGCGGUGAAAUGCGUAGAUAUAUGGAGGAACACCGGUGGCGAAAGCGGCUCUCUGGUCUGUAACUGACGCUGAGGCUCGAAAGCGUGGGGAGCAAACAGG
rnacentral:rRNA from 1 species